rnacentral:lncRNA from 1 species
AGACAGAAGGCGGCCCUCUGAAGACGGGGCUAGAGACCACGUAUGUUGUUCUUGGAGUCCCCUUGCCUGGAAGGGAAGUGCAAACCCUGAGUCACACUCUAUCCUCUGACCUGUCUGACCUCGGCCUCUCUCUGCUGCAGUUUCUUCGCCUGUGAAAUAGGGAAUAGCCUUCCCAGGGAUUGAGGGAUCACAGGCUUCUCAAACCUUGACUUGGAUAGGGUACCUCUUCAGUAGAAAAAUUCAAUGAGGUUUCUCACACCUUCUACCUAUGGGCCAGUUACAUACAGAAGAGAAAACUGAAACUGAAAACUGAUUUGUCAUUUUUACAAAAAGUCGCCGAGAAGGAGAAUUCCCAGUACAGAAUGGAACAUGGCUGCCUAGACUGCAAUUCACAGCCUCUCUUGCAGUGAGAAAUUGUCCUGGAACAGGCUGGGCACGGCAGCUCACAUCUGUAAUCCCAGCACUUUGGGAAGCGAAGUUAACCAACCCCCAAGUGCCCAACACCAGCCGGCUUGCGGCUUCGGCAGACCAAGUUCCAUCUUCAGGGGGCAGCCCUAUCCCAACCCCCAACUUAUUUUCUGCCCCAGGAGCCCUCUUCCAAAGGUUGAAAAACCUGACACUGACCUCUCAGCCCUGCUACAGCUGGAGCAUGGAUAUGUGGCCUGAGCCUAGCCAACGGGUCCUGGAGAGGAGCUUCUGGAAAAGACUUCCCCAAGUACAAGGACGCUCAUGGAGGAAAUCGCUUUCUUGGCUAGAUUUGUGCUUAUCUGCGAUACCUGGAACUGCUCAACCAACUUUUGACAGCAAAGAGGGAUGCUGCUGACAUGCUGAGUGUGGCCAAAUGCACAGUUGGGAAGUUGGGAAGCACCUCGGUCUUCAGUGUCAUGGUUGAGCCCCUGCGUUUAACCCGGAACCCACGCCUCUGCCUUUGAACCUCUGAUUAUGUGAAAUCAUACAUAUCCUUACUGGUGAAGCCACUGGCUCCCAAAUUUCUGGUCUCAAGACCUCUUUAAGAACUGAAAAAUUAUUGAAGACCCCAAGAAGAUUUUGUUUAUGAG